rnacentral:rRNA from 1 species
ACUAUGGGAGGCAGCAGUGAGGAAUAUUGGUCAAUGGACGGAAGUCUGAACCAGCCAUGCCGCGUGCAGGAAGACGGCUCUAUGAGUUGUCAACUGCUUUUGUACAAGGGUAAACCUGAAUACGUGUAUUCAGCUGAAAGUACUGUACGAAUAAGGAUCGGCUAACUCCGUGCCAGCAGCCGCGGUAAUACGGAGGAUUCCAGCGUUAUCCGGGUUUAGUGGGUUUAAAGGGUGCGCAGGCGGAUUGAUAAGUUAGAGGUGAAAUGUCCGAGGUUAACUCGGGAACUGCCUCUAAUACUGGUGAUCUAGAGAGUAGAUGCGGUAGGCGGAAUGUAUGGUGUAGCGGGGAAAUGCUUAGAGAUCAUACAGAACACCGAUUGCGAAGGCAGCUUACCAAUCUAUAUCUGACGUUGAGGCACGAAAGCGUGGGGAGCAAACAGGAUUAGAUACCCCAGUAGUC